rnacentral:sRNA from 1 species
GAUGUUGAGCGUGAAGGAUAACGUUGCGUCAGCAACGGCCCGAAGGGCGAGGCGAAGCCGAGUCAUCCUGCACGACCCACCA